rnacentral:lncRNA from 1 species
UUUUACCCUAAGACUAACUUAUAUGUAAUCACCCCCAAAGAGAUAUUCAUCAAACUUUACUUUAUCCUAGAGAUCUAUUGAAAGAGUUUUGAUGAAUAUCUGUUGGAAGAGAUAUUCACCACUGUCAAUUUGAUCAUGAGUUGCAACUACAGAUCUCUGGGAUGUAUUGCAAGUUCAAAAAACAAAAAAAAAAUCAUUGAGAAACAGAUCUCUAACAUCUUGUAUGGGAC